UACACAGAUGGGAUUCCGGGGCCCAGAGA
rnacentral:piRNA from 1 species